GAGAAAAUGAAGUUUUCGCUUGUGAAUGGGUCUUAAGGUUUUUGAACUAUUGACUCGUCGAUAUGUACAAAAUUAUAAGGCAUAGUUCUUGCCGUUUCAGAAAAGUGUCCCUCUCUACUCAAUGGAAAAUAUUAUUCCACUCAACUCUUAUAUAACUUCAACGUUCAAGGAGAAGCAGUCUCCAGAUUCUUUUGUUAGAGAGAUUUUAGGAAAAUGGCAAAUUAUCAAGAUCAAUCAUUCUGACACUGUCUAUAGUUUCGGGUUUCUGGGUCAAUAUUUGUUGGAAUUUCUUCCUUACGUUGGUUGGCAUCUUCAGAGGUUUGUUUUAUCUCUCCCAAGUUUAAAAAUACAGCCUGACAGCGAUAACAUAGACCAUAGAUCUCUGAAGAUGCUAGCCACUGACGCCGGUGAAACGUCAACAAGAAAUUCCAACAGAUGGCGUCCUAAAUACCCGAAACCAUUGUCCGAAACUACGGCCGUUGUCUAAGGAUUUAGAGAACGCUAUAGCUUUAAGAAAUGACUGCAGAAAUCUAAAUUUCUUCGUCAAUCAUUCUAUUCAUAGUUAUAGUUGAAAACAGUUUGAAAAAUCGCUUAAAGGAAGUAUAUUACGUUUACUUAUAUUCUGAAAUUUGUAUGAAAUAAAGCUAUAUUAUUCGA